AUGGAUUUUGAAGGUGGCAGGACACCAAAGAAGGAUAUGGAAGGAGAAGGAUGUGUGACGGGUUCGAAGAUAAAGGGUGCUGGAAAUCAAAGUAGUAAAGAUAUAAUUUUCAGAGAUGAUAGGAUUGAUCUUAAGAAUUUGGAUGCUCAAUUGGAAAAGCACUUAAGCAAGGUUUGGUCGAGAAAUACUAAUGAGUCUAAAACGCCUAAAGAAGAAUGCACAUAUGAUACUCAGGAUGUUGCAGAUAAAAUCAGUGGAAAGAUCUUAAGCAAUCUGGUGGUGAGUUUCAAAUGGUUUUGUAGAAAGUGUGACCACUGA